ACAAUCUCUCAAUGGUCAUCUGUUGAAUGAUCAGAAACACGGUUUCAAACUUCAAAAAGGAGACCAUGACUCAUUAUAAGUAAGAGGCACUAAAAGUUCAUUCCUACACGACCACCAAACAAUCUUGAGAGUGUAACAAAAUGCUCAGGCUUCCUCGGAUUGCUGCUUCAAGGGCUUUGCUUGUGGCUUACGUAUUACUGUUAUCAACAAUAAUAUGUUCUUACUUUCUGUUUACAGAAGCAAGAAUUUCUGGUUUCUCAGUUAUUCAAGAAAAUCUUCCAGUGCAUCGGAGCGCAAGGGAAAUACCUACUAAAAUCUUUUCUCCCGCAAUAAGUCCACCACGUGGACAUCAUGGAUAAAGUACUAGGAGAAGAGAAGACGCAGCAGGACAGGUCUUGGAUGUGGGUAACGCAGGGGGGAAAAAAAAACACGGCCUGUAUUCAAUUAAUUGUAACUCAUGAUGAAUACAUAGAAUGUUUAUUGUAAGCAAUAAUAUCGUAUGAAUUUCUGUCAGAAGGCCCUGGAAAAUGAAGUCAAAUCAGUUGCAAAGCUUUCCAA